UCAGUCACUUUCCUCUGAAGAACCUGCAUCAAGCCGUGGUUUUAAGCUGCAGAUGGAGUUCUUCUCGCAGGACUGAAGUGCUGAAGCUCUCUGAGCUCCGAAGGCACCCUGAACUCAUGUGAGUGUGACUGGCUGCUUUGCUUUUGGCAAGAGACCCUUUAGAGCCCCAGAGUGCGCUGUGCAGAGUCUCUAAGGAGAGGACUCCUGAGGCCGAAUUUAUUUGUAUCCCACAGGAGGCUUUUUCUUGGUUGGCAACGUGCUUAAAAAAGAAAGAAAUGCAAAUGGGCAUUUCCACGUGACUGUAUUCUGCUCAGUGCAGUGUCUGCCUGUGUUGCAGACUGAGCUCCGUGGCAUUGCAAAGAAUGCACCAAAGGUUCCCGUAUUUCUAGCGGUUGUCAGGGCGGUGGCUCAUGACAUCGUAAGGCCGUGGCGAUGUGACGGUAAGAAUGUCCCAUGUCAAGUACAAGAUGGCUGUGUGGGACGAGGGGAAGCCAUGGCCUGACAGCUGCCCUUCUGGUCAGCAGUGGAAUUCUGCGGGGUCCAUUAGAAGGCCAUUUCUCUGUAAUGCUUUCUCUGUUGGUUCCAGUCAAGAUGUGGCCGUUGUAUGAAGUAAGUUUGUGGUUGCUGUGAAGCUGGGAGGAAUGUUGACUGCCUUGGGGGUUGAGAGGCCUUGCAGCAAGAUGUGGAGAAAUGUGAGGGUGGUCCCCAUCUGCACGAAGAAGAGCAAGCGCUGCGUUCUGCACCUGGGAUGCGGCAGCCCUGGCUAUAAGCCCUCAGCAAACAGUCGUCCUGUUCCACUUUUGGCCAGUCUCAGAUGCUUGUCUUCCAGAAUGUCUGCGUGUGGAUGAAUCACAACAGGAUCCUGGGAACUUUUAAGAAAGGAAAGAUUGCUUCAC